rnacentral:lncRNA from 1 species
GAGCCUAGGAUAGGGCCACACAGUCAGCCACACGAGCGUGUGGGUCACACGGCCCUCAUACACGACCAUGCCACCCCUAAAACCUUAGGAUGUUCUACUUUCACACGACCUAGGACCUCUCACAUUGUCGUGUCUCCCAUGUAGAUUGAAUUUUUGAACUCCACACGACCACAGUCUCUCACACAGUCGUGUACCCCCUCCACACGGCUCAAGGCUUCCCACACGGGUCGGUUACACGGCUGUGUGUCCCCUG